GACGAACGCUGGCGGCGUGCUUAACACAUGCAAGUCGAGCGAUGAAGUUUCUUCGGAAAUGGAUUAGCGGCGAACGGGUGAGGAACACGUGAAGAAUCUGCCCUCCACUUUGGGAUAACACCGGGAAACCGGUGCUAAUACCGAAUAUUGAAACAUAAGUGGCAUCACUGAGUUUUGAAAGAAUUUCGGUGGAGGAUGACUUCGCGGCCUAUCAGCUAGUUGGUGAGGUAAUGGCUCACCAAGGCAACGACGGGUAGCCGGCCUGAGAGGGCGACCGGCCACACUGGGACUGAGACACGGCCCAGACUCCUACGGGAGGCAGCAGUGGGGAAUAUUGGGCAAUGGAGGAAACUCUGACCCAGCGACGCCGCGUGCGGGAUGAAGGCCUC
rnacentral:rRNA from 1 species